CAAAACAAUUCACAUAGCAAACAAGGAUGUUAAUGUAAUAGUUGCGAUAGUAAUCUUCUACAAACGGAAAGUCACGUUUCGAGCCAUCCUGACACCGUUGUGGAAAGUAUUUAAGUCUGCUUUGAAUAUUGAAAUUCAUUAGAAAACAUAAACACUGACAGUGUAACGUGAAAAGAAAAUGAAAAUAUAUUAAGUAAGCGCACUUUUGGUCUGCGGAUAUAUGGCAUUUGCAAAAGCAAACGAGGUGUGCCUCAACGAGACGGAAUAUGAUUUUUACAUGAUGGAGAAUCUUGUGACGGACGUUAAAAAAAAGACUCGAGUCUUUGAAAGAAAAUUUCAAAGACAUGGUACAUGCAAAAUGUCAAAAAACGAAAUGUCCUCAAAGCUCUUGCGCUGAUGAUUGGGUUUCUUACAACGGAUCUUGUUACCGCUUUGAAACUUUUCCUGCUCGUAAUUUUGAAGAAGCAAGGGCUUUCUGCAAACAAAGAGAGUCUGUAUUGUUGUAUGUACAA